AUAUAUAUAUAUAUAUAUAACUGAGCUCCUAUCUUGUAGAUUCGUGACUGUUGGAUUAAGAGAUGUGCGGUUAGGAUGAUGUAGAAUCUCUAUGGUUGAGCGGGUAAUUGGCUGAAUAAUAUGAUCUAAUGGAUGAAAAUGAUUAAACGGAUAGAUCUAACGAUAAAAAAUUUACAAGUAUCAAGUGUUUGGUACUUUUACCAGCACCAUAGCUGAACUAUAUUAUAUAUAUCAUAUUAUUGAAUGAACGAACACAUUCCCAAUUGUACAAUUUUUGAUCUCAC
rnacentral:lncRNA from 1 species